UCAAUUUUCAGGUGGAAAAUAAAUGUGAGGAGGACGCUUUGAGGAUAUAUUAGAUACUUUAAGCAGCCUGAAAACUUAUGAAGUACUUUUAACAUACAUGGCUGAUCUAGCUGUCUGGGUAGACUCUUCACUGCUCAUUGCACAUCCCUCUCAAUAUUGCAUCCUAAAUGAAAUGAACAACAAUAUCGUUUGCUCAUAGGCUAAGAAGUCGCUCCUCUUCUUUGGUAUAAUCAAUCCCUCAUUCCAUACAAUACCAAAUCCAAAGCUAAAAGGAAUUUGCUUUGCCAUACAGCCACAGUGUUUUUAUAUCUUUCUUAUGGAAUUUUCAAGUCUAUCCUUCCUCCACAGAUGAUGGUUACUUCUCAUGAUUACCAAUUCAUUUACUAAGUGUUCACAAAUGAUUCUGUGAGAAUGCUGCCCACGUUCAGUAUUGAGUUCAUGGGAAAUUAAAAUUUACGUUUAUAUGAAACUAAUAUCAGUUUCCAAAACUGAGGUACAUACCUGCAUUCAAAAAAGGUAUUACAGAGAAUGCAAAGAUUAAAAUGAUGUGGACUCUGUGCUUAAGGAGGCUCCAGCUAUGUAUACUGUUUAUUGCUAUCAU